GCACCCGUAGCUCAACUGGAUAGAGCGUUCGGCUACGGACCGAAAGGUUGUGGGUUCGAAUCCUACCGGGUGUA
rnacentral:tRNA from 1 species